AAAUAUAUAAAAAAUAAAUGCAAAAAAUUAAAAAAAUUAUAUAAAAGUUCAUAUUUGAAACCAUCUAAAAAAAAUGAGGUAGAACAAAGUAAAGAACAGAAUGGAGAACAGGAUGAAGAACUUGAAUAUUUACAAUACAAAUUAAUAAAAAAAAAUGAUAAAGAUAAAAAAAGUAAAAAAAAAAGAAAAGGUAGUUGUUCUUUUUCUACUAUUGUCGAAUCUAUAUACAGAACCAAAGGAAUUAAUAGAGAUAUAAUAGAAAUAUUAAAAGAUAAAUAUUUACCUAAUAUAAAAAUUACUUUUAUAGUUAUGGGUGCUUAUUGCUUUUACCAAAAAAAUAUGAAACCAUUCCAAGAUAAAAAUACUUUUUUUUAUAAAUCUCCUUUUUAUAAAUGUGAUGCUGAAAUAUCAGUUGCAUGUAAAAAAGGAAAAAAAAUAGAUUUUCCCAACCAAGAUAAUUAUACAAUUAUUCAAACAAAUGAAUGGGUAUUAAUAACAGUAUUUGAUGGACAUGGUCCAUCAGGUCAUGAUAUAAGUAAUUUUGCUCAUAUACUUUUACCUUUAUUAUUUACUUAUAAUAUAGAAAGAAUUACAGAAAAUCCCACUAAAACUAUUAAAACUUUAUUUUAUAUGAUUAAUUGUUAUUUAGUUAAUUAUUCUUAUUGUAUAAAUAAUAAUAUAAACCCAAUAAAUAUUAAUUUUAUUGAUUAUAAUUUAAGUGGUACUACAUGUACUGCUAUACUAUAUAACUUUGUAACAAAAAAAAUAUACUCAGCUCACACAGGUGAUAGUCGAGCUGUUAUGGGGAAAAAAAAUAUAGAAACAAAUGUGUUCAGAUCUUAUAAUAUUACAGAAGAUCAUAAACCUUCAUUAAAAUUAGAAAAAGAUAGAAUAGUUACAUUUGGAGGAGAAGUAAAAAAACUACAAGGAGAUAUAGCAUAUCGAGUGUUUAUUAAAAAUGAAACUUAUCCAGGAUUAGCAAUGAGUAGAGCUAUCGGUGAUAUAACGUCUUCUUUUAUUGGUGUUACUUGUG
rnacentral:lncRNA from 1 species